UGGGGAAUUUUGCACAAUGGGGGAAACCCUGAUGCAGCGACGCCGCGUGAUUUAGAAGGCCUUCGGGUUGUAAAAAUCUUUUCUAUGGGAAGAAAAUGACAGUACCAUAGGAAUAAGGACCGGCUAAUUACGUGCCAGCAGCCGCGGUAAUACGUAAGGUCCGAGCGUUGUCCGGAAUCAUUGGGCGUAAAGGGUACGUAGGCGGGUAAGCAAGUUAGAAGUGAAAUCCUAUAGCUCAACUAUAGUAAGCUUUUAAAACUGCUCAUCUUGAGGUAUGGAAGGGAAAGUGGAAUUCCUAGUGUAGCGGUGAAAUGCGCAGAUAUUAGUAAGAAUACCGGUGGCGAAGGCGACUUUCUGGCCAUAACCUGACGCUGAGGUACGAAAGCGUGGGUAGCAAACAGG
rnacentral:rRNA from 1 species